GACGAACGCUGGCGGCGUGCCUAAUACAUGCAAGUUGAGCGCUGAAGGUUGGUCCUUGUACCAACUGGCUGAGCAGCGAACGGGUGAGUAACGCGUGGGGAAUCUGCCUUUGAGCGGGGGACAACAUUUGGAAACGAAUGCUAAUACCGCAUAAAAACUUUAAACACAAGUUUUAAGUUUGAAAGAUGCAAUUGCAUCACUCAAAGAUGAUCCCGCGUUGUAUUAGCUAGUUGGUGAGGUAAAGGCUCACCAAGGCGAUGAUACAUAGCCGACCUGAGAGGGUGAUCGGCCACAUUGGGACUGAGACACGGCCCAAACUCCUACGGGAGGCAGCAGUAGGGAAUCUUCGGCAAUGGACGAAAGUCUGACCGAGCAACGCCGCGUGAGUGAAGAAGGUUUUCGGAUCGUAAAACUCUGUUGGUAGAGAAGAACGUUGGUGAGAGUGGAAAGCUCAUCAAGUGACGGUAACUACACAGAAAGGGACGGCUAACUACGUG
rnacentral:rRNA from 1 species